GGGGUUUAAGUAAGGUAACGGCAAGGGUUGUGUGAUGUGGAUCAACUAGCAAGGUUGGGAAGAAGGAAGUUGGAUGUUUGUUUGGAAAAUGAUUAUCAGGUGUUGGAUGAGUUUUGGAAGAAAAGGGUGAGGGUUUUGAUUUGAGACAAGAGCUCUGAUUAGAGGACAUACAACACG